GCCGCCGGUGCGGGCGGCGGCUGCAGUUGUCACCGGCAGCAGCAGGGCAAGGCAGGGACGGGGAGGGUGCUCCGUCCCCGGGACCGUCACCGCCCGCUGGCCUCUCAACGGAGCCCUUUCCCGAAACUUCGUCCAUCUCCUCCGUCCCUGCCGCCAUGACCACCACGACCACCUUUUCGGGCAUGGACCCCAGUGGCAGGAACAGCUCCAGAGUGCUGCGUCCUCCUGGUGGCGGGUCCAACUUUUCCUUGGGUUUUGACGAACCGAAAGAACAACCUGUGCGAAGGAACAAAAUGGCAUCCAGCAUCUUUGGAACUCCUGAAGAAAACCCACCUUCCUGGGCUAAAUCAUCGGGGACUAAGCCAGGUGAAAUCAGAGAUGACUGUGAAUCAUCUGGACCACAAAGAAGAAACUCAACUGAUGCAAACUGUGGAGACUUUGUAGAUCCCAAGGGAGGAGAUGGUGGUGGUGAAACUUCUGAGCACAGAAGCUGAGCCCCAUGAAUAAUGCAGCUGAUAUCAGGAAGAAACUGGAGUUGUAGAAGACAUAGUGGAAAUCACUAGUUAUAUCUACCAGGAGACCUGAAAUAGAAGCCAUGGCUUAGUCAAAGAGAAGACGCAUACUAAAGGCAACUAGGUGACAUUUACAUAAAUGUUAAACCUAAAUCAUUCAGCAAACUGCUAUAUACAAAAGAUAAGCAUUCACAGAUGAGUUAAGUUCUCUUCUCUAGAUUCUAGGGGUUGUUUGGUUUUUUGUAGUCACCACUCAGGUGAUGUUUCUGCUUCUGUAUAAAGUAUUUCUCAAUACACAGAAAAAUCAGGACAGAAAGGGAAUUGUAGCUUUUCCCCAACCAGCUGAUUCAUUUUGUUUACCCAGCAGAGGACCCCUGUGCCACUGCCACUCACUGGAUUUUGGAAUGAGUGACCUUAUUACAUCCUAGGUCAGAAAACAGAACAAAUAGAUAGGGAAAUCUCUCAAAAAUUGACAUGUUAGGGUCUCUAAACUGAAACUUGUUGCUAAUAGUGUGUAAUCAGGGAGAAGAAAAUUCACAGCACAACAAGCAUUAUGACUAACAUUAAGUGCCCUCAAUAUAAAACAUUUAGAAGCAUGAUAUAUCAAAUAAGUAAUUUAACACUAAUGUUAGAGAUGGAAAGGCGAUACUCAGGUCAAAUAUACAAUGCCUUCUGUAGGCUGCUUAUUUAUAUGGAAAUACUGGAAUAAUGUUUGUUUGCUUGUAUUCUUCAGUAAAGAUUGGUAAUGUUUCUUUUAAUAGUGCACUUUUCUUUAGCAGAUUUUAGGACUACAGAUAAAAAUGGUGCUGCUUUUACUGUACUUCGUUUUGCCCAUCUGCCACUCCUAUUAGAGAUGUCCAAGAAAAGACCUUUUUUUGCACUUUUCUCAAAGUGACUGACACUAAUGCCAGGGAAUACCAUGAAAUGUGGUACAUGUUAUCAUCCCAUUCUUAGAACAGACAUUAUUUUCCUGCUGAAUAGUACACAAUUCAUUGCCUGGAGAAGAGAACUAAAGCCUGAAUUGAGGCUUCAUGCUCAGGUUCACGUUUCUUGUUAGUCUUUUGAAUUUGCUGCUGUGCUGCAGGAGCAGGUGCGUCUUGGACAGGUCACUUAGUGGCAUUUGGAGUGAACCGUGAAAUCUGUGAAUAAUUUAUUGGAUUUGGGGUCAUAACUAGCUCCUUUCUUGUCUCCAGAGAAAAAUCAAUACACUCUGGAACUCGGAAAGAAGAGUGAACAGAAGGCUUUUGAAUAAUGUAAGACUGGUAAUAAUUCUGAUCACAGUUAAUUUGUUUAAUGGGAUGUUUGCAAUUCCUUGAGACUUCAUAGAUAAAACAAUGCAAACUGGCAAAGCAGUGAAAGAGUUCAUAGACAGCAAGAUCCUACCACAGUAAUUCCUCUCUCUGACUUCCCUCUCACUAGAAAAAAGUUGUCAUCACUCCUAUACCUAUCAAAGCUGCCUUUUUUCACUGUCUGGUGUUGCUGCAGUGACAUUUGGGCGGCUGCAGAAAUGACCUUCCUUCAGCUGCGAGAAGGGGCUGAUCAUUCCUUUCCAACUCUCCCUUUUAUAUUGCUCCCUUUGCAUAACUCACUUGCCUGUAUGGGUUUGGAAAUGCCCUUAUUUUAAUUUAUGCUCCCAAACACUUGUCACCAGUGUCUAAACAACCAAUUUUUCCCCAGGCUGCUUUAAUAACUUCUCUCACCUGUGAGAGGGGGGCCAAUGAGGAGAGUGAUACUCUCCAGGAUGGUGAAGAGCCCUAGAGCACUUGAGAACCUGUCCAUCUCCACCACAUCCAUCAGCACCUGGAAGCCCGCAGAGAAGCACAGCCAGGCUGAAUAGGUAGAUGCGUCUCCCUGUGAAGACUCUGUGUCCUGAGAGCAGCCCUGUCAAAGGGCGUAUGAAGAUGUUGAUGAACCCGAUAACAGAGAUGAGAAGGGCUGCCCUGCGUUCCUCCACCCCAUUCUGGAUGGCAUAAGGCACAAGGUAGACAUGCGGUAAUGCAAACCCCAUCAUCAUCCAGGUCACUCCAAUAGUGUAAAUCUGGUAACCUUUGUUUUGACAGAAGAUGUCAAAAGCCAGAUACUUCUGCAGCAUCUGGAAGCAUGCAGUCCUUCUGGUUUGAUGCUGGAGCUCGGGGUGGGGAGAAGAUGCUCCAUUGGAGAGUUGUGCCUCUUCUGCUCUUCUCUCUGGCCCCUCUCCAGGCUUGGGUGACUGUAGUAGUGACCCUGAUGCCAGCUGAACUGGUCUCAUGAUGGCUCCAGAAACACAACAGUUCAAUAGUAUUCCUCCAAAGAUAAGAAAAGUGUUUCUCCAGCCCAUCUCAUCCAGCAAGUAUUGAGAAAGCAGCGGCCACAGCGUGAAACCGAGAGAGACGCCAGUGGAUGCCAUGGCAUUGGCCAGUGUUCGCCACCGUACAAAGUAGUAGCCCAGCGCAGUCACUCCUGCCUGGAAGCUGAAACACGAUCCCAGACCUAAAGGUAAGAGUAAAAGAGAAAAUGACAGGCAUGAUCCCUCUGUGUUGUCUUAAAGGGUGAAAAGAGCCCAAAUCCAGGGUAUAUCCACAGAUGACUUCAUCUGCCACUGAAGCAUUUCCUCACCUGCCAGGCUGCACAACCCCCAGUGAUUAAUACUCAGAAACCCCACACAGGGCAUGAAGAAGGAUGUUGUAAAUUACUUGUGUUCUUGGUUAAACUACUUGUGUUCUUUGGUAUACUAAAUAUUCUGAUCUAAGCUGACAUUUGUCUGGGGCACGCUGCCAUUCCUAAAAUUGUUAUGGAAUUGUUCAUUAAAAACUUGGUUUUUAUACCACA